AGAGUUUGAUCAUGGCUCAGAUUGAACGCUGGCGGCAGGCCUAACACAUGCAAGUCGAACGGUAACAGGAAGCAGCUUGCUGCUUUGCUGACGAGUGGCGGACGGGUGAGUAAUGUCUGGGAAACUGCCUGAUGGAGGGGGAUAACUACUGGAAACGGUAGCUAAUACCGCAUAACGUCGCAAGACCAAAGAGGGGGACCUUAGGGCCUCUUGCCAUCGGAUGUGCCCAGAUGGGAUUAGCUAGUAGGUGGGGUAACGGCUCACCUAGGCGACGAUCCCUAGCUGGUCUGAGAGGAUGACCAGCCACACUGGAACUGAGACACGGUCCAGACUCCUACGGGAGGCAGCAGUGGGGAAUAUUGCACAAUGGGCGCAAGCCUGAUGCAGCCAUGCCGCGUGUAUGAAGAAGGCCUUCGGGUUGUAAAGUCUUUCAGCGGGGAGGAAGGGAGUAAAGUUAAUACCUUUGCUCAUUGACGUUACCCGCAGAAGAAGCACCGGCUAACUCCGUGCCAGCAGCCGCGGUAAUACGGAGGGUGCAAGCGUUAAUCGGAAUUACUGGGCGUAAAGCGCACGCAGGCGGUUUGUUAAGUCAGAUGUGAAAUCCCCGGGCUCAACCUGGGAACUGCAUCUGAUACUGGCAAGCUUGAGUCUCGUAGAGGGGGGUAGAAUUCCAGGUGUAGCGGUGAAAUGCGUAGAGAUCUGGAGGAAUACCGGUGGCGAAGGCGGCCCCCUGGACGAAGACUGACGCUCAGGUGCGAAAGCGUGGGGGAGCAAACAGGAUUAGAUACCCUGGUAGUCCA
rnacentral:rRNA from 1 species